UCGAGUGAUAACCCCGCCAGAGGACACCCUUCGCCGACGCCAUUGCGCUCGCAACAAGGAUCCCUGCGCUAUCUCCGUUAACGUUCGCCGCCAUCGAUCCCUUCACCGCCGAACCCCUUGCCAUCGCGCUCGCAACAAGGAUCGAGGCCUCCAGACUGCCCUCCAUCCGUGCACUAUCUCCGUUGGCCGCCGCCGCCGCCUCCGAUCCCCUUCAGGAGCCUACGCCCUAGGUCACAUCGGCGCCGCUGCUACGCCGCCGCCACCAUUCCGCUCGCACGCUGCCAUCACCAUCACCCCUCUCGCAUGCCUCUGCCGCCAUCACCCAUUGUCGCAGCUCGGAUGUGGAGCUCGUGUGCCAUGGCCGCCAUGGCAUCCAUGGCCGACACGAGGGGACCCUCGGCCUCGGCCGUGGCUGCCUGCUCGGGAAACGGGGUCGCCACGUCCGACUCCCCUAGCGCCUCGUGGACCGGCAUCAGAGUCCCCAGGUCCGCCGCCAUCGAACUCAGGUACGCCUCGACGGACAUGGUCGAUCAAGUGAUCUAAUCUGAUCCCAUGUUCCGAAGUCCUAAUGAGAACGUACUCCUACGUGGAUCCAAGUCCGAGUUGGGAGCGACGUCGAUCUGAUGAACGUGCAAGGAAUUUCUGAAUCCAAGACUUAUAUUUUACUAUAUAUGUUCACUGGUUAUUCAAUUCAAUUGUUCGUACAACAGCAGAUUUUUUUUCUUUUAGCACAAAUUCCAGUAGUUGUGUUUGCUUCUUUUGAAGAUCACCAGCCAUAUCACAACUGUUCCCAUCCAACAGGUUAAGCAGAACUGCAAAAGCAACAACAAAUUUUCUAUGGUACAUUGUUUUUUUAGUUUCAGUCCAUCAAAUUCUCUGGUUGAAAUGUGUGUGUCUUGCUGCAGCGGCCAGUGCAGUUUCGACUUCAGUUCAGAGUCACACUCUCUCUUGCUGCUCUCUGCCAUCUAGAUCAGCCCUGGAUCUAGACGAUUUCAUGCCCUCCAUUGCGGUUGUUGCUAUAAUAUGAUUUAUUACAACUUGUUUGAAUGGGUUAGAAGGGAGUGAUGAACUGUUUCGUGAGCUUUCAUGUACCUUCCAAUUUCAUUGUCAUUUGAAGUGUGAACUUGCUUCAAACAGUCAAUUUGCCUUCCUGCCACAAUAUUUCUCGGCAACGGUGGCCAAACGAGACCGCCCUCCACGCCGGGACGCUGACACGACGGCCUGCAUGUCCCUGCUCUGACGGACGCACCAAACUCCACAACUUCCCCGCAAUCUGACCACGGGCAGACACACUUUCUUCAGGGGAAUUCAGGUUACAGUACUGUGUAAUCAUGGAGCACAGAGCAGAGCCUCUCCGAUCGGAAAAUUUGGACGUGAAGAGAACACCUUAAAUUAGUUAAGCGGUACACGUUUACUCGAGUGCUCUAACAGCUACACUAACCUGGCAGAAUAUGACCAGAAUUCAGUAGUGUCAUGAGGCCUGUGGUGGCCAAGGUUUGAAGACCGAGUUUUCAAAGCUGAACUGAUGUCCAGUCUAGAUCUGAGGGUGACAACAACAUUCUACUUCUACUGCAGCAGGUUAUUUUACUUUUUGUUCAUCGUUCAUGCAUGUGUUCUAAACGUUACUCCAGGCUUGGUUUUGUAUCUCUGUAAUCUGUAUAUAAAUAUUGGCUUUUUUUGGAGGAUGAGAUGAAUGCUCCUGCUGGGUAUAAUGCUCUUGAUUGUAUUCUGGCGCCAUAGGUCAGAGAAGCCAAAAGGAGGAGCCAUGACUAGCUCCGUUUUCUCGCAGUGACGAUGGCCUUCCUCUAACAUCAGCUUCCAAAAGGAUACUAUUGUGAGAUUGUAUGAUACAUAAAAGACGCCUCAAGCCCCUAGACGGAAGCAUCCAGUCUCGCUGUUCUACCAAGUUCGCCGGAACGCAGACCGCGUGUGGUCCACCUCAGUUAAUUUGCCUUCCUGCCACAAAAUUUCUCGGCAACAGUGGUUGUAUUGGAAACAUCAGCUUCCAAAAGGAUACUAUUGUGAGAUGGUAUGAUACAUAAAAGACAGGCUCAAGCCCCUGUACUGGAGCAUCCAGUCUCGCCGUUCUACCAAGUUCGCCGGAACGCCAACCGCGUGUGCUCCACCUGAAGUACGCCGUUCUAAAAUUCACACAUCCAAGCCAUGAGUAGCCCUAAAGUAGCAAGUUGUUAUAUUUCAAAAUUUAUUUGUAGGAGCAUGUGUUUCGGGCUUUAUACUUCACCAUGAUCUUUUACUGUGUGCAUGUAACCAUACCGUCUACUAGAUCAUGGAAGGCGCGCGUUGCUGCGCCCGUCUGUUUGUAAUAUUGAAUAUUAAUGUUCAAAGAAAAUAUUGAAUAAU